GUAAAAAAAUCGUAACAAGGUUUCCGUAGGUGAACCUGCGGAAGGAUCAUUAUCGAGUUUUGAAAGGGGUUGUAGCUGGCCUUCCGAGGCAUGUGCACGCCCCGCUCAAUCCACUCUACACCUGUGCACUUACUGUGGGUCUCGGAGGUGAAGCGCGCUUUCGCUCGCGGAUCUGACGGGCCCGCGUUUUACUACAAACACUUUAAAGUAAACGAACGUGUAUCGCGAUGUAACGCAUCUAUAUACAACUUUCAGCAACGGAUCUCUUGGCUCUCGCAUCGAUGAAGAACGCAGCGAAAUGCGAUAAGUAAUGUGAAUUGCAGAAUUCAGUGAAUCAUCGAAUCUUUGAACGCACCUUGCGCUCCUUGGUAUUCCGAGGAGCAUGCCUGUUUGAGUGUCAUGAAAUUCUCAACCUACCGGUCUUUGCGGAUCGGUAAGGCUUGGACUUGGAGGCUUGUCGGCCGUGUGGUCAACUCCUCUCAAAUGCAUUAGCCUGGUUCCUUGCGGAUCGGCUCUCGGUGUGAUAAUUGUCUACGCCGCGACCGUGAAGCGUUUGGCUGGCUUCUAACCGUCUCGAUGGAGACAACUUUCUGACCUCUGACCUCAAAUCAGGUAGGACUACCCGCUGAACUUAAGCAUAUCAAUAAGCGGAGGAA
rnacentral:rRNA from 1 species